AUUCUCCUUCUUCUCCUUCUUCUUCUUCCUCUUCCUCCUCUGAGGCCGAGGUGUGUCAGCAGCUGCUUCACUGGAGGACGGACAUCCCUCCACCGACACUGACGGCCAAACAAACCGCGACACUAAACAAACGCUGCUGCUUCCUGGUUCUCAGAGGAGGAGGAGGAGGAAGAGGAGGAGGAGGAG